UGGGGAAUUUUGCACAAUGGGGGAAACCCUGAUGCAGCGACGCCGCGUGAUUUAGAAGGCCUUCUGGUUGUAAAAAUCUUUUCUAUGGGAAGAAAAUGACAGUACCAUAGGAAUAAGGACCGGCUAAUUACGUGCCAGCAGCCGCGGUAAUACGUAAGGUCCGAGCGUUGUCCGGAAUCAUUGGGCGUAAAGGGUACGUAGGCGGGUAAGCAAGUUAGAAGUGAAAUCCUAUAGCUCAACUAUAGUAAGCUUUUAAAACUGCUCAUCUUGAGGUAUGGAAGGGAAAGUGGAAUUCCUUGUGUAGCGGUGAAAUGCGCAGAUAUUAGGAGGAAUACCGGUGGCGAAGGCGACUUUCUGGCCAUAACCUGACGCUGAGGUACGAAAGCGUGGGUAGCAAACAGG
rnacentral:rRNA from 1 species